rnacentral:rRNA from 1 species
UACGGGGGGGGGUAAGCGUUGUUCGGAAUUACUGGGCGUAAAGGGCUCGUAGGCGGCCAACUAAGUCAGACGUGAAAUCCCUCAGCUUAACUGGGGGAACUGCGUCUGAUACUGGAUGGCUUGGAUUUGGGGAGAGGGAUGCGGAAUUCCAGGUGUAGCGGUGAAAUGCGUAGAUAUCUGGAGGAACACCGGUGGCGAAGGCGGCAUCCUGGACCGACAUUGACGCUGAUGAGCGAAAAGCUAGGG